rnacentral:rRNA from 1 species
AUGGGCGGCGACCGGCGAACGGGUGCGGAACACGUACACAACCUUCCUUUUAGUGGAGCAUAGCCCAGGGAAACUUGGAUUAAUACUCCGUAACAUAACGAGAUGGCAUCUUCUUGUUAUUAUAGAAGCAAUUCGCUAGAAGACGGGUGUGCGGCUGAUUAGAUAGUUGGCGGGGUAACGGCCCACCAAGUCCACGAUCAGUAACUGGUGUGAGAGCACGACCA